AGCGAACGCUGGCGGCAGGCCUAAUACAUGCAAGUCGAACGAACCUUUCGGGGUUAGUGGCGGACGGGUGAGUAACACGUGGGAACGUGCCUUUAGGUUCGGAAUAACUCAGGGAAACUUGUGCUAAUACCGAAUGUGCCCUUCGGGGGAAAGAUUAAUCGCCUUUAGAGCGGCCCGCGUCUGAUUAGCUAGUUGGUUGAGGUAAUGGCUCACCAAGGCGACGAUCAGUAGCUGGUCUGAGAGGAUGAUCAGCCACAUUGGGACUGAGACACGGCCCAAACUCCUACGGGAGGCAGCAGUGGGGAAUCUUGCGCAAUGGGCGAAAGCCUGACGCAGCCAUGCCGCGUGAAUGAUGAAGGUCUUAGGAUUGUAAAAUUCUUUCACCGGGGACGAUAAUGACGGUACCCGGAGAAGAAGCCCCGGCUAACUUCGUG
rnacentral:rRNA from 1 species